GCCCAUAACAUUAUACAGCAGUUUCGUCUUGAUUUAAUUGGGAGUUGAGCAACUUUUCCAUAAACAAAAUUCUGAUGCUGACACAGAGGAUGGAGUGAUAAUACCAGAGAUCAACUGUCUCCAUCAGACAAUAAUGUUACUUUGUUCAGACAUAUCACCUUUGAAUGACUGGGAUCCUGAUCUUUAGACACCUGAUGUAUUUUAUUGUAAUAUUAUAAAAUAGCAAAUAUUUUAAUUUCUUUGGAGCUCUAGAUUAAAACAAACACAGUUUACAAGUACACAAGAGGUUGCAGUUUAUUCUUAUUAGUCUAUGCUGAUCAUGGAUUAGCAUACCAACAGCAUAUGAAUGGGAUAGUUCACCCAAAAAUAAAAUUCUCACUUAUUUUACUCACCCUCAUGCUGUCCCAGAUGCAUUUUACUUUCUUUCUACAGAUAAAUACGAAUUAAGAUUUUAAGGAAAGUAAUCCAUCUCUGCGAGUCCUAAAGAUGCUUUAAAAACCACACACAGUGACCGUGAUGUCCAUGCGACCUCAGUGGAUGAAUCAAUGCCUUCUGAAGUGAAACAAUAGGAUAAGAAAAA